UACGAAGGGGGCUAGCGUUGUCCGGAUUUAUUGGGCGUAAAGAGCUCGUAGGUGGCUUAGUAAGUCGGGUGUGAAACCUCCAGGCUCAACCUGGAGACGCCACCCGAUACUGCUAUAGCUUGAGUCCGGUAGGGGAGCGUGGAAUUCCUGGUGUAGCGGUGAAAUGCGCAGAUAUCAGGAGGAACACCAGCGGCGAAGGCGGCGCUCUGGGCCGGUACUGACACUGAGGAGCGAAAGCGUGGGGAGCAAACAGG
rnacentral:rRNA from 1 species